UACAGAGGGGGCAAGCGUUAUUCGGAAUUAUUGGGCGUAAAGGGCGCGUAGGCGGCCUGGCAAGUGGAAGGUGAAAUCCCUCGGCUUAACCGAGGAACUGCCUUCCAAACUGCUUGGCUUGAGUCCGGGAGAGGUGAGUGGAAUUCCCAGUGUAGCGGUGAAAUGCGUAGAUAUUGGGAGGAACACCAGUGGCGAAAGGCGGCUCACUGGGACCG
rnacentral:rRNA from 1 species